UUCGCUUUUCCGGCCUUUGGCUAAAUAAAAAUUGAAGUUUUGUUUUGAUCAGCUUAAUAUCUGUACGAUCCCCAUGGGGGAUCUAAAAUAUUAAAAUUUUUUUUUGGAAAAGGGCGAAGGGCUGGGGGCUUGUCCAACUUUGUCGCAGAUCGGCCCUUAUUGCAGUGCCCCCUGGAUGGCCCCACUCCCU